GGGAUAGGGCCUCGCUGCCUUGCCCGUCUGGCGCCAUAUUCACCCAUGUCUUUUUGCGUACUACUUGUUUCCUUGGCGGGUCCGCCCGCCAAUUGGACCUUAUUCAAACCUUUUUUUCAGUUGCAAUCAGCGUCAGCAAAACAAAUGUAAUCAAUUACAACUUUCAACAACGGAUCUCUUGGUUCUGGCAUCGAUGAAGAACGCAGCGAAAUGCGAUAAGUAGUGUGAAUUGCAGAAUUCAGUGAAUCAUCGAAUCUUUGAACGCACAUUGCGCCCUUUGGUAUUCCAAAGGGCAUGCCUGUUCGAGCGUCAUUUGUACCCUCAAGCUUUGCUUGGUGUUGGGCGUCUUGUCUCUCUCCCGAGACUCGCCUUAAAAUCAUUGGCAGCCGGCCUACUGGUUUCGGAGCGCAGCACAUUAUUUGCGCUCUUGUCCAGCCGCGGUCGCGCGUCCAUGAAGCUUCUUUCAACCUUUUGACCUC
rnacentral:rRNA from 1 species